AUACUUACCUGGCAGGGGUGACACCAUGAUCAAGAAGGUGGUUUGCCCAAGGUGCGGCUCUGUCAUUGCACCCUGACAGUGCUGACCCUUGUGAAUUCCCCAAAUGUGGGAAUCUCAACUGCAUAAUUUGUGCUAGUGGGGGACUGCGUUCGCGCUCUCCCCUG
rnacentral:snRNA from 1 species